GAUCUCUGCUGUUACGUGACACUUCCUACGGCUCCCAUGGGCUCUCAGAAGGCGGCAAAAAGCUGAAUCGUGGCUUUGCAGGCUCUGGCUGAAAAACAGUAGCGUGUUUGGAUAGUGGCCGGUCACAGUACUAUGAGACUCAGGCUCGUGCACGAGGGGAUCCCAUGCUUUUGUUUUCUCUCUCUUUGUAUGUAAACACGCUUUCCCGGUCGGAAUAUUAUCGCUUUUUUAAGAGAAAAAUGGCAUAAAAAUUGAUUUUAAACAGCGGUUGACAUGCUUCGAAGUACGUUAAUGGAAUAUUUAGAAUUUUUUUGUCACGAAAUGCGUCGUGCUCGUGACCCUUAUUUACACUUCGGAUAGUGUCUUGAACGCACGAACAAAACGCCGCUGUUUGGAUAUAACUAUGGAUUAUUCUGAACCAAACCAACAUUUGUUAUUGAAGUAGCAGUCCUGGGAGUGCAUUCUGACGAAGAACACCAAAGGACCUGAGCCCUAGGACCAUGCCUCAGGACUACCUUGCAUGAUGACUCCUUGCUGUCCCCAGUCCACCUGGCCAUGCUGCUGCUCCAGUUUCAACUGUUCUGCCUGCGGCUAUGGAACCCUGACCUGUUCACCGGACGUGCUUGUUGCACCCUCGACAACUACUAUGAUUAUUAUUAUUUGACCAUGCUGGUCAUUUAUGAACAUUUUAACAUCUUGACCAUGUUCUGUUAUAAUAUCCACCCGGCACAGUCAGAAGAGGACUGGCCACCCCUCAUAGCCUGGUUCCUCUCUAGGUUUCUUCCUAGGUUUUUGGCCUUUCUAGGGAGUUUUUCCUAGGGAGUUUUUCCUAGCCACCGUGCUUCUUUCACAUGCAUUGCUUGCUGUUUGUGGUUUUAGGCUGGUUUUCUGUACAGCACUUUGAGAUAUCAGCUGAUGUACGAAGGGCUAUAUAAAUACAUUUGAUUUGAUGUGCAUCAAUAAAAGUGCAAUUUAAAAUCAAAGGACCAGACGAAACAGGACAGAUAAAAAGAGGGAGGGUUUGGGUUUAGGAUAAAUGUUUAGGGGGUAGGGUUGGGAAUAGGAUACGGACCCAGUUUAGGGUAAGGAAUUGAGUUUGGGGGGGACACAUAGGGAUAAAUACACUCUUAGAAAAAAAGCUUCUAAGUAGAACCAUAUAGGGUUCUUCGGUUUGUCCCCAUAGGAGAAACCUUUUUGGUGCUAGGUAGAACCCUCUAUGAAGGGUUCUUCAUAGAAAUGUCUGUUGAAGAUGUACUCCUGUGAUUUUUUUUGCUUUUCCUGUUGUAAAGUGAUAUACCAAAUAUAAAUACAGUAAAGUUGUCACGCUCGUCGUAAGAAUGAUGAGACGAAGGCGCAGCGUGCGUAGAGUUCCACAUGUUUAAUAAAGGAAACGCACCAAAACAAUACAGAACAAACGAA
rnacentral:lncRNA from 1 species